AGCUGGACCCACAGCAAGUGUUCAGAAGCUAUCUUUCCUCUGCUUUACUGCAGCUGGAUAUGAAGCCAAGUUCCAAUGCACACGAAAAAAAAAGUUGAAGCCACAAUGUGGUACAGGAUGAACAUAUGAUGGAAGUUCCAGACUGGAUUCUCUUUCUUCUCACUGUUCCUGAAUAAAAUGGUUCCUGAAAGUAAACUUAAUAAAAGA
rnacentral:lncRNA from 1 species